CAAGGGAUUACAAACACAUAUAUAAAAUAAUUACCAACUAUAGAUAAAUUCUACAUAAUUAACACACACAAUCCCUUAAAACAAAUUGAGAACAGCUACGAAUAAACACCAACAAAUAUACAAACAAACAAACAAACAAACAAAGAUCUCUAUGCAAACUCCGCUGAAACCAAAACAACUCUCGAGCGUGCUUGCGUCAUGACGUCGCGGCGUCACAUGACGGCAGCAGCACAGCUGAGAGGGGAGCGUCAAGGCGGCGUAGAGCGGAUUACUCUGUGUUUACAUUCCGUUUACCGUCUCUUUUCUGCGUUUACUCCGAUUUUACCACAACAGCGCGCAUCUCCUGCAUCUGACCGCCUGAAGCAGUGCUGCUGUCGCUCCUCUCGGUGUUGGACGGAGCUGCUGCCGUCGUUUGUGUGAAAGAAAUUAAAGCACAACACACUGCCAACCUGAUCCACGGCUGUCUGACUGUGUGUCACGAUCAUAUUCGAUCCAUCCAGACUUCUACAGCUCAUAUAGUCUGAUACAGUGAGAAUGUGGAGGAAAAACAGACUCAAACUGAGCAAAAAAAUGCAGUUUAUAUGAUGAUGUUCCGCUGCUUGUGAUGCAAAUCAGUGAGAUCUUUAUAACAGUUGAGCAGAUACUGACAUAAAAUCAUCUAAAUAUGAGUCUGUGUGCUCUAUAUCUCCAGUAAUCUCAGUAAGAUGAGAUUUAAAUAAUUGAUUAAAAAUUGCUUUGGCCAAAAAAAAAAAAAAAAAAAACUAGCCGCCAAAGCAACAUUUCUCAUUUUCAUUUAGUUUUAACUUGAAUAAAAUCUAAAUGAAUAAAACCUAUAUUGACA
ensembl:lncRNA